rnacentral:ribozyme from 1 species
UUCCAUGCCUGUUGCUGCUACCUUGGCGUGGUGGUCGGGCUUGCUUAUUGUGAUGAACCGAUCAAGCUAUACUGGCUGGAACAAUCAUUUCUCAAGGUCCUGCCAUGCUAGACAGGUCGGUUGAAGAGUGGUAAGUCUAAAAGCAGC